UAACCUGCUGCUCCCCGAAUAGCAUGGAGAAGACAACUUCAGAUGGACAGAUAUUUCCAGAGAGAAUGCCAGCCUCUUCCCUUGCCGGCCUCCUCUCUGUCUGGCUCUUACUUACCACUUAAAGACGAGGUUGAGCCAGUCUCCAAUCACAGCUACCCAGAGAAGUUUAAUGCCCACAGCUUCGCGAAGAUGGAACCAGAUGGGGAAGAGGACAUAGAAGGCAUUCCUGAGGUCUGCGAUCACGGACACCAAGAUGAACCAAUCCUGGGAGUCCUGGUAAUUCACCUGGAGGUGUACAACAUAGUGAUUGAACAUCUCUAUCCAUUACGUGGUGCUCAUCACAAGUGUGACUGUCAUCUGUCUCUGUGCAAGUUCUUUUUGUGUAUGUCUCAACAUUUUCCCUGCUAUCCUGAGCCCUGAGGAUCAAGAAAACAUCUCUUCCAGCCUUCAGAAUUGAGCUCCACUUGUAGAUGUGUUGGAACCCUGGACCACAGAGGGGAGAAGUCAAGGCUGGUCUGCUGAGACUCAUUGCUGUAACAUGUGACCUGACAGCCAGCCCCAGCCAUCAGACGUGUGAGUGAGGCCAUCCUAGACCAUCCAGCACCAGACCAUCUGCCAGAUAUCUGCAGCCCUCUGAAUGAUCCCAGGUGACUUCAGCAAAGGAACUUCCCAAGUGAGCCCAGGCCUGAAAGCUGACCUAUGGAAAAAUGAGCAAAUAAAAUGGUUUGUUGUUUUAAGCCGUUAA